rnacentral:misc_RNA from 1 species
UGGCUCUAGCAUCGAUGAAGAACGCAGCGAAAUGCGAUAAGUAAUGUGAAUUGCAGAAUUCAGUGAAUCAUCGAAUCUUUGAACGCACAUUGCGCCCUCUGGUAUUCCGGGGGGCAUGCCCGUUUGAGCGUCAUUACAUCUCUCAAGCCUCGCUUGGUAUUGGAGGAAGCAGCCCUUUUACCUGGGUAUUGCCCCUCUUAAAAAUUAUUAAAUCGGCCGGGUUCAUUACACAUAUUCCCCAGCGUUGUGAAAACAUUAUCGCUUGUUGGAAAUAGUGUGAACUAUUGUUUGCCGUUAAGCCUUCUUUUCUUUUUCGAAUCAGAUCCAUUUCUGAGUUGGAUAGAAAAACCAAAAUGUUGACCUCAAAUCGGGUAGGAAUACCCGCUGA